CGCGCAGAUGCGAAAGCAGGACUUAGUGAACCGACCAUGGCUCGUAGGAGCGUGGAAGAUUAACAGAUAAAAGCUACCCCGGGGAUAACAGGCUGGUACUGCCCGAGCGUCCAUAGCGACGGCAGUGUUCGGCACCUCGAUGUCGGCUCGCCCUAUCCUGGGACUGAAGAAGGCCCCAAGGGUUUGGCUGUUCGCCAAUUAAAAGGGUACGCGAGCUGGGUUCAAACCGUCAAAGCAAUUGAACCGAGGACAUCAAAACACGGCGGCUUUCUAGAGUAAUCUAGAUCGAAUAAAUCGACUCAUAUCGGUGAAGGCCUAACAUUGAAAUUAACCUGUCAUAUGUUAGGAUAAUACCGAGGGAAGUUAUGUGGCAUGAGAUCAAUAACAUCACAACAACAAGCAUACAUUGCGGGAUUUCUUGAUGGUGAUGGAAGUAUUUAUGUACAGGCAAAAAAGAAUUCAACCUAUCGGUAUGGAUAUCAAAUUGCUCCGUAUGUAGUGCUCUUCCAAUCAACAAAAAGUGAAUCUAACUUUGCAAAAAUAUGCAACCUAAUAGGGUUGGGACAUUUGCGAAGGAGAAAAGAUGGAAUUUCUGAAUAUAUAAUUGGUCGUAUAAACCAAUUGAAGGAAUUUCUAGAGCUCGUAGAGCCAUUUGUUAUUCUGAAAAGAAAACAGGUGGCACUCAUGCUUCAAAUUCUUGAUCAAAAAGAAAAGAUUGAGAAUAAAGAAGAUUUUGAGGCGUUGUUAAAAUUGAUUGACGCGUUUCGGGAAUUUAACUAUUCCAAGAAACGAUUAAAACGCACAUUAACCCCGUAGAGACUUGAUCGUAUAAACGGUCAGACUUUGUAGAAUUACUACAAGGUAACACGUCGAUCAUCCAUGUAGUGGAUGGUGGUAUAGUCCAUACUGCUGGUAACAGCAGGAGUUAGUAAUUUAGCGUGAGACAGGUUGGUCCUUAUCUGGUGCGGGCGUUGAUACUUGAGGGGGGUUGUCCUUAGUACGAGAGGACCGGGAUGAACAAACCUCUAGUGUACCAGCUGUCGUGCCAACGGCACCGCUGGGUAGCUAUGUUUGGUUCCGAUAAACGCUGAAAGCAUCUAAGCGUGAAACGGGCCCCAAGAUUAAGUAUCGUAGAUCCGUGGGAGAUUACCACGUUGAUAGGACUCAGGUGCAAGCGCUGUAAAGCGUUCAGCCGAGAGUUACUAAUAGAUCAUUUUCCCUACAAG
rnacentral:rRNA from 1 species